AACGAACGCUGGCGGCAGGCUUAACACAUGCAAGUCGAACGGAUCCUCCGGGAUUAGUGGCAGACGGGUGAGUAACGCGUGGGAACGUACCCUUUGCUACGGAAUAACUCAGGGAAACUUGAGCUAACACCGUACGUGCCCUACGGGGGAAAGAUUUAUCGGCACAGGAUCGGCCCGCGUUGGAUUAGCUAGUUGGUAGGGUAAUGGCCUACCAAGGCGACGAUCCAUAGCUGGUUUGAGAGGAUGAUCAGCGACACUGGGACUGAGACACGACCCAGACUCCUACGGGAGGCAGCAGUGGGGAAUAGUGGACAAUCGGCGCAAGCCUGAUCCAGCCAUGACGGGUGAGUGAUGUAAGUCGUAGGAUUGUAAAGCUCUUUCACCGGUGAAGAUAAUGACGGUAGCCGGAGAAGAAGCCCCGGCUAACUUCGUG
rnacentral:rRNA from 1 species